UACGAGGGGGGCAAGCGUUGUUCGGAAUUAUUGGGCGUAAAGGGUGCGUAGGCGGUUGGGUAAGUCUUGUGUGAAAUCUUCGGGCUCAACUCGAAGUCUGCACGAGAAACUGCCUGGCUUGAGUAUGGGAGAGGUGAGUGGAAUUUCCGGUGUAGCGGUGAAAUGCGUAGAUAUCGGAAGGAACACCUGCGGCGAAAGCGGCUCACUGGACCAUAACUGACGCUGAGGCACGAAAGCUAGGGGAGCAAACAGG
rnacentral:rRNA from 1 species